rnacentral:ncRNA from 2 species
AGACCCUGUGCGGGAGAGUCCUUCUCAAGGCCCGAAAGGCCUUGGCGAAAGGCGCCGAAGGAGCAAAUCCUCCCCGGAAUCUCUCAGGCACACGUACCGCACGGACGAG